rnacentral:rRNA from 1 species
GUCCCGGUUUAAGCGUGUAGGUGUGUGUUCCAGGUAAAUCCGGUUCACUUUAACACUGAGGCGUGACGACGAGGCACUACGGUGCUGAAGCAACAAAUGCCCUGCUUCCAGGAAAAGCCUCUAAGCAUCAGGUAACAUCAAAUCGUACCCCAAACCGACACAGGUGGUCAGGUAGAGAAUACCAAGGCGCUUGAGAGAACUCGGGUGAAGGAACUAGGCAAAAUGGUGCCGUAACUUCGGGAGAAGGCACGCUGACACGUAGGUGAAGUGAUUUACUCAUGGAGCUGAAGUCAGUCGAAGAUACCAGCUGGCUGCAACUGUUUAUUAAAAACACAGCACUGUGCAAACACGAAAGUGGACGUAUACGGUGUGACGCCUGCCCGGUGCCGGAAGGUUAAUUGAUGGGGUCAGCGCAAGCGAAGCUCCUGAUCGAAGCCCCGGUAAACGGCGGCCGUAACUAUAACGGUCCUAAGGUAGCGAAAUUCCUUGUCGGGUAAGUUCCGACCUGCACGAAUGGCGUAAUGAUGGCCAGGCUGUCUCCACCCGAGACUCAGUGAAAUUGAACUCGCUGUGAAGAUGCAGUGUACCCGCGGCAAGACGGAAAGACCCCGUGAACCUUUACUAUAGCUUGACACUGAACAUUGAGCCUUGAUGUGUAGGAUAGGUGGGAGGCUUUGAAGUGUGGACGCCAGUCUGCAUGGAGCCGACCUUGAAAUACCACCCUUUAAUGUUUGAUGUUCUAACGUGGACCCGUGAUCCGGGUUGCGGACAGUGUCUGGUGGGUAGUUUGACUGGGGCGGUCUCCUCCUAAAGAGUAACGGAGGAGCACGAAGGUUGGCUAAUCCUGGUCGGACAUCAGGAGGUUAGUGCAAUGGCAUAAGCCAGCUUGACUGCGAGCGUGACGGCGCGAGCAGGUGCGAAAGCAGGUCAUAGUGAUCCGGUGGUUCUGAAUGGAAGGGCCAUCGCUCAACGGAUAAAAGGUACUCCGGGGAUAACAGGCUGAUACCGCCCAAGAGUUCAUAUCGACGGCGGUGUUUGGCACCUCGAUGUCGGCUCAUCACAUCCUGGGGCUGAAGUAGGUCCCAAGGGUAUGGCUGUUCGCCAUUUAAAGUGGUACGCGAGCUGGGUUUAGAACGUCGUGAGACAGUUCGGUCCCUAUCUGCCGUGGGCGCUGGAGAACUGAGGGGGGCUGCUCCUAGUACGAGAGGACCGGAGUGGACGCAUCACUGGUGUUCGGGUUGUCAUGCCAAUGGCACUGCCCGGUAGCUAAAUGCGGAAGAGAUAAGUGCUGAAAGCAUCUAAGCACGAAACUUGCCCCGAG